AUGGAGAACCAAUUAUUAUGGGUUGUCAACAAUGGACCAUGGAGUUUUGACAAUCACAUUUUGCUUCUUAGACGUUGUGAGAAAGGGAUGAUGACAUUUUUUGUCCAGUUUCUGCAAAUCCCUAUAUAGGUUCAGGUAUGGGGAUUACCCUUUGAUUUAAUUAAUGUAGAAGCAGGUAGGGAUAUUGGUAAUGGUAUUGGCCAUGUUGUUGACAUAGAUUGUAAAGCUAUUUCAUUUGAACAAGCUCGAUUUCUUCAAAUACGAGUUGAGAUGCCAUUAGACAAACAUAUUCGACGAGGGGCUCCUGCUAUUAGUCCAGAGGGGGAUAAAGUGUGGUUAGCUUUUCAAUAUGAACGUCUUCUUGGGCUCUAUUUCAACUGUGGUUUUCUGAGGCAUGAAGCAAAGGUUUGUUCUAUGCCAAGAUUUGGUGAGGGGAAUGAAAGUCCAUAUGGUGAUUGGCUAAGAGCAGGUUUUCGUCAGCAGAAGGAAGAAAGGGGACGAAGAACACCUAGCCCACCCAGGAGGAAUAUGGACGAGCAUAUUCACAGGGAUAAAGAUCCACCACAAUCAAUUUCAAAAUCUGGAAUACAGGGCAAUUCUCUAAUUGUUGCAACGGUUACUGAACCUAGGACUUCUAAUGGUAAUUCUUCAAUUGCUAUUACGAUUACAGAAGUUGUGGAUAAUGAUCUUGCUGUUAUUCUGGGAUUGGAUGGCUAUGAUUCUCAGAAUAUGUAUACUUCGGAGAUUAAUGAAACAAGUCUUGAAAUUAUGGUUCACACUAAUGCUAUUAAGACAGAACACAACUAUGAAAAAAUUGGAUUAACGUGCCAAUUGUGUAUGAGGAUAAUUUGGUGAAUCCUAAGAAAUCUUCUCUGAGGCAUUGGAAACGCAUUAUUAGGAAUUGAAUUAACAAAACUCUAAGUAUAGUUACUCCUAAACUUCCAAGUUUAUCAAAGCGUAUAUCUUCAUAUUAUGAUUCUUUGGAUUCUUACACUCACAAGAAACAACUGUUAAGUAAGGAAAGGCUUAGUUUAUUACAUUCUUCAGGUGAAGGUAAUCCUUCACCACUGCCCCCACCAUGAAGAUCUCAAGCCUCAACUGCCGAGGGCUUGGGAUCCUAGUGGUAGUCUAAGAACUUCGCUAUUUGGCGAAUGAAGAAGGUUCCAAAAUUCUCUUUUGGUCUGAAACACGUCUUAACAUGGAAGGUUUUCACAGAUUAAAGAGGACUUUACAGGUGAUGGAUGGUUUUGCAGUUCCAAGGAUUGGUUUGGCUGGUGGUUUGGCUUUGUUGUGGCGAGAUGGAGUGGAUGUAGAUAUUCAAACAUCUUCAUCUCACCAUAUUGAUGCUCUGAUAAAACAAGAAGGUGUUGUUUGGCGCCUUACAGGUUUUUAUGGAUAUGCAAAAACUUCAAGAAGAGGGGAAUCUUGGGAUUUAUUGAGGCAACUUCAUGCUUCUUUUUCAUUCCCCUAGUUGUUGCUAGGUGAUUUUAAUGAAAUAUUACUUUCUGAUGAGUAUUGGGGUAGUGGCAGUAGGCCAUACAAUCAAAUUGAUGAAUUUAGAAGGGCAAUAAAUGAUUGUUUAUUGAUGGAUUUAGGUUUUAAAAGGCCAAAAUUCACAUGGUGUAACAAGUGCUUCGAAGGAAAUUUAGUAUAUGCACGAUUGGAUCGUGCACUGCAUAAUCAAGAGUGGCUUCAGUCUUUUCCACAGUCAAGUUUAUCUCAUAUCCCGUUUGGGUUCUCAGAUCAUAUGGCACUUAUGGUGAAAGUUCAAACCACUCCUCAAAUGAAACCUACCAAAAAACACAGGUUUUUUUCGUUUUGAAGCAUUUUGGAUGAGAGAUCCUAAUUGUGAAGAUAUCAUCAGACGGAGUUGGGAUUUAUUAUUUUGGGGCUCUCCUAUGUUCAAGCUAACUCAAAAAAUCAAAGCAAUUAGAAUGGCCUUGCUGCAAUAGGGUGGUGGAAAUGCCAGAAGUCUCAUUAAGUUUAUUGAAUUGAAAAGAUACUUAUUGGCCAAUCUUGAAACAAAAUGCCAAGUAGAACCAUCCAAUCAACAGCUCUCUUAAAGACGGAAUUCUAUUAGAGCUUAACUAAAUGAACUUAUUGCACAGGAGAAUAUUUACUAGCAUCAACGGGCAAAAGUCUCUUGGUUUCAGCAGGGUGACAGAAACUCGAAGUUUUUUCACGCAGUGGCCUCGUAGAGAAGACGACGUAAUGAGAUCAGUAAAUUGAAGGAUUCUUCUGGGAAUUUCUAUUUUGACCAAACAGACUUGGAGAGAAUUGCAGUUCAUUAUUUCCAAGAGAUGUUUACAAGUGUUUCUACAGGAUCCUAUUCUCAAGUUAUUCACCAUGUUCAUGAAGUGGUCACCCCGAAAAUGAAUAACAUGUUGUUGGAAGAUUUUACUCAUGAUGAGGUAAAGAAGACACUGUUUCAGAUGAAUCCAACAAAAGCUCUUGAUCCCGAUGGUAUGAACCCUUUAUUUUUUCAAAAAAAUUGGCAUUUUGUUGGAACUGAAGUGUCUGAGGCUGUUCUUGAUUGCAUAAAUUCUGGAAAAUUCUUUCAAAGCAUUAAUUUCACACAUAUCACUUUGAUCCCAAAAAAGAAAAAUCCAGAACUCAUGUCUCAUUUUUGUCCCAUCAGUUUAUGUAAUGUCAUAUUUAAGCUUGUCUCAAAAGUCUUGGCCAACAGACUGAAAGAAUUUUGGGAAGAAUUAUCUCUGAUUGUCCAAGCGCGUUUGUAGCUAAUAGAGUGAUUAUAGAUAAUAUCCUUAUUUCUUUUGAGAUCUUACAUUACAUGAAGUCAAAACGCCAAGGUAACAUAACACACAUGGCCCUCAAAUUAGAUAUGAGUAAAGCUUAUGAUAGGGUGAAGUGGGGUUAUUUAAAAGGCAUUAUGUUAAAAAUGGGAUUUCAUCAAAGGUGGGUGGAUCUAACCAUGGUGGGGAUAUUAUCGGCCUCAUAUUUUGUUUUGGUAAAUGGGGUUCCAUCGGGAUAUAUCAAACCUUUUAGAGGCAUAAGGCAGGGAGACCCUCUCUCUCCCUACCUAUUUUUGUUAUGCUCUGAAGGCUUUUCUGCUCUUCUCAGAAAUGCACUCCAACAAAGACUUCCACAUGGAGUAAGUAUUUCUUGUAAUGGACCUCAGAUUACACAUCUUCUAUUUGCAGGCGAUAGUUUAUUGUUUUGCAAAGCUUCCACAUUUGAGUGUCACAUAAUCAAGGAGAUCUUACAGAUUUAUGAAGUAGCUUCAAGUCAGAAAAUUAAUUGUGAGAAGAGUUCAAUUUUUUUCAACACCAACACUCCUUUGUCAACUAGAAAUGAGAUCAGAAUGUUACUCAAUACUACAUCCACAGAACCCUUUGAAAAAUAUCUUGGUUUGCCCCCAAUCAUUGGUAGAGGUAAGAAACAAGCUUUUGCUGAAAUCCAACUUUGUAUCCAAUCCAAACUUAGUGGGUGGAAAACUAAAUUAUUAUCUCAGGUAGGGAGAAAAGUCCUAAUCAAGUCCAUAGCCCAAGCGAUACCUGUAUAUGCCAUGAAUUGUUUCUUAUUGCCAGCAGGUUUUUUUGAUGAAAUCAAUUCAAUGAUGGGGCAAUUCUGGUGGGGGCAGAAAAAUGAAGAGAAGAAAAUGCAUUGGUUGAGUUGGAAGCAUAUGUGUCUAGCAAAGAAGGACGGAGGCCUUGGCUUUCGUGACUUGAAGAGUUUCAAUUUAGCUUUGCUUGCCAAAUAGGGAUGGAGGUUAAUGCGGUAUCAAGACUCGCUACUUUUCAAAGUAUAUAAAGCUAAAUACUUUCAACAUACAUCCUUUCUUGAAGCUUCAAUUCCGAAUCAUUCUUCUUUUGCAUGGAGAAGUAUAACUUGUGGGAGGGAUUUGCACAUUCAAGGCAGUAGAUGGAGGGUGGGUAAUGGUUCUUUGAUCAAUAUAUGGACUGACAAAUGGUUGCCUUCAGUGACAAACUAGAAAGUAUGUUCGCCUAGAAUGAUUUUACUAGUUAAAGCCAUAGUAGCUGAUCUUAUGGAUUUCUCAGCCCUACAACCGAGGGGGAAGGAUUUCCUCAUUGAUUCUAUUUUCUUUUCCUUUGAAGCAUCAAUCAUUAAAACCAUUCCUCUCAGUAUUCGGCGACCUGAAGAUACUCUUAUUUGAACCAAAACCAGAUCGGGAAGGUUCUCUGUUGGGAGUGCUUAUUUUCUGCAAUUGGAAAUUGAAAAACAAUCCAAUGCUUCUUCUUCGGCUACCACAUCAGAUCAUACUAAGAUUCAUUCCUUUUGGAAAGGUAUUUGGUCUUUUACAAUUCCUCCAAAAAUUAAAUCAUUUAUUUGGAAAGCUUGCAAUGAUAGCCUUCCCACUCGAACAAAGCUUUUUGAUAGGAAGAUCUCUAACUCUUUCUCAUGUGCCCUCUGUAAUGAUGAAGCUAAGACAAAUAGCCACCUUUUUUUGGAAUGUUCUUUUGCACAAUCUGUUUGGUUGCAAACUCAAUUCUGGAAUGGUCUUCAGCUACCACAACCGAUUAGUUUUAUUUAUGCAAUGGAGGCUACCUUAAACAACUUGAAUUCUGCAGAUUUUGACACUCUUUGUAUUGCUUGUUGGAUGAUUUGGAACUGCAAAAACGAGCUGAUAUUUGAGAAUAAACCUCCUUCAUCAAAGGAUUUAUGGGCUCGGGCUGAACUUUACAGGUUGGAAUUCAUGGAAGUGCAACAAAAACCAAACUGGCUUGCUGAAGUGCAGAAUAUGAAGUGGUAGCCCCCAAUUUUUUAUUCAAUCCAUAAACUCAAUCUAGCAAUUUCCCAAUCGAAGAAGAACACUUCUAUUGUUUUUGGUUUUCUUAUAAGGAAAAAUAAGGGUGAAGUGUUAGCGGCAUCAUGUCAUCGUUUGCAGAAGAAUUUAAACCCCCUCUGUACAGCAGCUACAGUGAUGAGAUUGGCUCUUUUGUUUUGUCAAAAUACUAGUUUCUAUAAGAUGAUGGUGGAAUGCAACUUUGCGAAACUUGUGAAUCUCUUGAAUUUGGAUAGAAUCUACUGUUUAGAAGCUACCUGGAUUAUUGAAGACAUUGGUUUAAUUAGAGAUAGUUUUUCUUUUAUUUCUUUUCAUAGUAUACCUUUGUGAUGUAAUCGUGCGGCAUUAGCAUUAGCUACUGCUGCAAAAGAGAAUGAGGAGGCCAUUGUUUGGUUAGAAGAAUGCCCCUCUUUCCUCUUCCCCAUUGUACAAAGUGAUUUAAUUGAAUAAAGUCUACUAUCGUUUUCUCUCAAAAAAUUAAGAGUGCUUAUGCAUAUACAUCUUUGUAAAAAUGCCAAAAAGGACUUUUGUUUAUUUAUUUAAUAUUUUUUUCCUCUAUGCAUAAUGUUUCCUUAGUUAUUUAAUAGGCCAUUGUAAUGUUUUUGAUGUGUUUGGAUUCGGUUGGCUUCUUGUCAUGGCAAUAGCUAUGCUUUGCAUGCUUGGCCGAGCUUUGCAUUUAAGCCUGAGGAUAAUGUCUUAAUUCUUCUGAAAAAGAAAGAAAAUCAUGUCUAGUAUUCUAUGUUAAUAUUGAUUUACUCGUGUUCUUAGUGUUUUUAGAGAAAUAGCCUUUAUUGGUCCAAAGGUCUACACGUGGAAACUAUCAUGAUGACUAUUAUGAUCAUCAUCAUCAUAGUUUCCAUAUGUAAACCUUUGAAAAUGAUAAUAAAUAGUCAAAAUAAGAACUUAUGGAACCUUGGUAUGAAAGUAGUAAUAAUUCUAGAGACUUACAACAUCUUUCUUCCAUAAAAAAUAUAGAAACAAGUUGUCCUAAUUCCUAACAGACGUAGUAAUUCAGGAAAAAAAAAAGAUGUUUUAAUUCAUAAAAGCAGAGAACUUAAAUAGUUUGCAUUUUGCAAUAAAUAUUAUAUUACUGGGUACAACAAUGUUUGCACUGUAAUUUUCAUCUAGGACUUCAGAAUAUGAGGACAAUUAUGCAGAAUGCAAAAGAACUCUUUAGGUUUAUAUCCAUGAGAUUUGCCUCUCAUUAAAUGGAAGUAAUAGUUGCUCUGUUUGCCAAUACAGUCUGGUGACUUCUACACUAAAUUGGUAUCAUGAAUACUGUUGAUAUCAAAGACUAAAGUUCAAGUUAUAUAAAAUACAAUUCUUCGAUUGGCUUAAGAAAUUUGUUGGUUUCUGAAGAGUGCACUAGUUGGUUCACACAAGGGGAGUUGCCAUUUAUACAAUACAUCUAGUACUAGUUUAGAAAGCUCUCUAUGUGUGCAUGGUUGGUUUAGUCAAGUUUUUUCUGAACUAACUGUUAAUAACUUCUUUAUCUGUUCAUACUUUCAGAGAAUUAAAUUGCAAUAAAAAAUCCAAAUCAAUUUGUAGAACAAGAAGAAGAAAUCUCAUCACAAGAAAAUCUCUGGUUUCCAGCCAACUGGUGGCUCUACCAUCUUGUACUUUUUAUGAGAUUAUUAUAAAUUCAACUACAAUUAACUUGCUGAUUUCUUUCUGUUUUACUCUCUCUUUGUUCAGCUGAUUUUCACUUGUAAAGAUGGUUUGUAUGCCUACUUUGAGAGACAAGUUUGGUUGAUAUUUUUCUGUUGCUGAUCAGUUUAUCUAAACAGUUUGCUCCAGGUAGUUCAUCAAAAGUUCUCAUCACAUCUGCAGAUUCACGAAUUCGAGUUGUUGACGGUAUUGAUCUGGUUCACAAGUUUAAAGGUAUAAAUAAGAUACAUCAAAUUGUCUUUCAUUUGUUGUUGUUACUUUUCUUUUUUUAUUAUUUAUUAACAUGAAAAUGCUUGAUACAUGAAAUUUUUGUCCUAAACCUGGUUGACAUGGUUAAUAUCAUUGUAUCUCCAAAAGUUGAUGCCUUUCUUCAUUUCCUGGAGUUCUCAAUGGUACUUUCAUUAUGCAAAGUGUCAAAAAUUGCUUUGAACUUAAUUGCGUUGGUACGCCAUGGCUAACUCUUAGAUUUAGGCUGUUAUAAUUCUGACUUGCAACUAUUAAAAUAUUGUAAAUAUUUGAUCUUUAGGAAGGACAAUGGUUAAGUCACUAAUUUGGACAGCAAGAACCUAUUGUUAAGCCACUGUGGAUCACAAUUUUUUUUAUAAACCAUUAUAGUAGCCUUCUAGUUACAAUACGCUAAACCUGUGGCCUUUGGAAAUAUGGUGUAGCACGAAUGUGCUUGACUUGGUGUUCUUUAGAGGCAUGUAGAACUUACCUAUAAAAUAAACUACAUAAUAAAUUAGUUGAACUUUUCAAUAAAAUUACUUAUCAAAAAAAUAAAUUAACAAAUUAGUUGGAAAAAAACUUGCUGUCAAAAGGCAAGAAUCUUUGAGUUGGACCUUAUCAAAAACUUAUCAAUAUUUUGUUAUAAAUUUUAAGGAUAUUAAUUUAUUUUUAACUCUUGUGUUCCUUAUGUGUUUAUCACUUUAGUCAUAAUGUCUUUAUUAUAUGCUUUAUUUGAUAAAUUCCCCUUUGAUGUGCAGAAAAGUACCAGAAUUCUCUAUGCAAUGAGGUGUGCUCUUAUGAUCAUCUCAUUUUUCUAAGUGUUGAUAGUUAUACUAGGUAA
rnacentral:sRNA from 1 species